rnacentral:tRNA from 1 species
GGCCGCUUAGCUCAGUCAGUAGAGCAUAGCGCUUACGACGCUAAGGUCGUCGGUUCGAUUCCUGUUCGGUCC